rnacentral:rRNA from 1 species
GAGUUUGAUCCUGGCUCAGAUUGAACGCUGGCGGAAUGCUUUACACAUGCAAGUCGAACGGCAGCACGGGGCAACCUGGUGGCGAGUGGCGAACGGGUGAGUAAUACAUCGGAACGUGCCCAAUCGUGGGGGAUAACGUAGCGAAAGUUACGCUAAUACCGCAUACGAUCUACGGAUGAAAGCGGGGGAUCGCAAGACCUCGCGCGAAUGGAGCGGCCGAUGUCAGAUUAGGUAGUUGGUGGGGUAAAGGCUCACCAAGCCAACGAUCUGUAGCUGGUCUGAGAGGACGACCAGCCACACUGGGACUGAGACACGGCCCAGACUCCUACGGGAGGCAGCAGUGGGGAAUUUCGGACAAUGGGCGCAAGCCUGAUCCAGCCAUUCCGCGUGCAGGAUGAAGGCCUUCGGGUUGUAAACUGCUUUUGUACGGAACGAAACGGUUCUCUCUAAUACAGGGGGCUAAUGACGGUACCGUAAGAAUAAGCACCGGCUAACUACGUG